rnacentral:rRNA from 1 species
UACGUAGGGUGCGAGCGUUGUCCGGAAUUAUUGGGCGUAAAGAGCUUGUAGGCGGUCUGUCGCGUCUGCUGUGAAAAUCCGGGGCUCAACCCCGGACUUGCAGUGGGUACGGGCAGACUAGAGUGUGGUAGGGGAGACUGGAAUUCCUGGUGUAGCGGUGAAAUGCGCAGAUAUCGGGAGGAACACCCGUAGCGAAGGCGGCACUCUGGGCCGGUACUGACGCUGAGGAGCGAAAGCGUGGGGAGCAAACAGG